rnacentral:rRNA from 1 species
GUGGGGAAUAUUGGACAAUGGGCGAAAGCCUGAUCCAGCCAUGUCGCGUGUGUGAAGAAGGUCUACGGAUUGUAAAGCACUUUAAGUUGGGAGGAAGGGCAGUAAGUUAAUACCUUGCUGUUUUGACGUUACCGACAGAAUAAGCACCGGCUAACUUCGUGCCAGCAGCCGCGGUAAUACGAAGGGUGCAAGCGUUAAUCGGAAUUACUGGGCGUAAAGCGCGCGUAGGUGGUUUUGUAAGGUGGAGGUGAAAUCCCCGGGCUCAACCUGGGAACUGCCUCCAAAACUGCAUGACUAGAGUACGGUAGAAGGUAGUGGAAUUUCCUGUGUAGCGGUGAAAUGCGUAGAUAUAGGAAGGAACACCAGUGGCGAAGGCGACUACCUGGACUGAUACUGACACUGAGGUGCGAAAGCGUGGGGAGCAAACAGGAUUAGAAACCCGAGUAGUCC